rnacentral:tRNA from 1 species
GGGCGAGUGGCGGAAUUGGCAGACGCGCUGGACUUAGGAUCCAGUGCCGCAAGGUGUGCGGGUUCGAGUCCCGCCUCGCCCACCA